AGUGAAAUCCUUUGGCUCAACUCAUAGGCUGCUUCCGAAACUGCUGUGCUUGAGUGUGGGAGAGGUGAGUGGAAUUGCCGGUGUAGCGGUGAAAUGCGUAGAUAUCUGGAGGAACACCUGUGGCGAAAGCGGCUCGCUGGACCAUAACUGACGCUGAUGGACGAAAGCUGGGGGAGCAAACAGGAUUAGAUACCCUGGUAGUCCCAGCCCUAAACCAUGAUUGCUUGGUGUGACGGCCAUUCAGUCGUCCCCUGCCAACUCUAACGCUAUAUCCUGUCCCCGUGGAGAGUACUGUCGCGAGGGUGACUCUCAGAAGAUGUGAGGGGCGCCCGCACACGCUGUGGAGCGUGUGUUUUAUUUCCACUCCACGCGGAAAAUCAUAUGUGCGCUCGAUGUGUAGUACACCGUGGUAAAAUUAUGCCUUCCCCCCAGGGAGCUGCAUAAUAGGUGCUGCUGGGUGGUCUUCACCUCGGGUCUGGAGAGGUUGGGUUAAUUCCCGCACCAAGCGCACCCCUGAUCUUCAUUU
rnacentral:rRNA from 1 species